UCAGAUGAGAGGAUGAGAAGCAACAAGUAUCCAGUAUUCUGAAGGAUGUCAUUAUGGGGUUGCCUAGGUGACUCACUAGGAUGUAUCAUCAUGUUAUGCCUCAGACUCUUUUGGAGAACAACUGUCUGAAAAAAGGUUUGGAUGGUGGGAGGAGUGGAGAGAGAGCAUAAUGGCACUCAGGAUCUUAGCCUUGACAAAGAGACAACACCAGCUAUAAAACAGCUUGCUUUUUUCACUCAGUAUUAUGGUUUGGGAUUCAAUGACAGGCCUUUAUAACCCAACCUCAUUCAGUCACCAGAUGCUGGCUGCCCCAGGAAGAUCGUCACCUUGGGCAAAGGGGCCUUCUGUGGCUGAGGCUGACCCCGAAGGAACUGAUAGCCAAU